AUACGUAGGGGGCAAGCGUUAUCCGGAUUUACUGGGUGUAAAGGGAGCGUAGACGGAAGGCCAAGUCUGAUGUGAAAGCCCGCGGCUCAACUGCGGGACUGCAUUGGAAACUGGUCAUCUGGAGUGCAGGAGGGGUAAGCGGAAUUCCUAGUGUAGCGGUGAAAUGCGUAGAUAUUAGGAGAAACACCGGUGGCGAAGGCGGCUUACUGGACUGUAACUGACGUUGAGGCUCCAAAGCUUGGGGGACAAACAGAAUGAGUUCCCCUGGUAGUCCACGCCGUAAACGAUGAAUACUAGGUGUCGGGUUUCUAUAGAGAUUCGGUGCCGCAGCAAACGCAAUAAGUAUUCCACCUGGGGAGUACGGUCGCAAGAAUGAAACUUAAAUGAAUUGGCGGGG
rnacentral:rRNA from 1 species